rnacentral:lncRNA from 1 species
ACAGAGUUCACGCUCAUUGGCAGAGUCUUGAGACCCCGGCAGGGCGUGAUGCUGCAUAUAUACGCAGAGGACCAAAAUCAAGGUCUCAAUCAGGUGCAUAGCCCAAGAAGGAGAAGAGCCCCAGAGAGAGGCACAGGAUGAAACGCGCAUGCUCCUAAACCCCUCAUCUGCUCACACCUGACUGUCGAUGGGCCGUUCUUGUGCAGACCUAGUAGUUGCUGUCUGACUCAUGGAUCCUGUGCUGGAUGGGGUGAGGGACUGGAAUAAAAUCAGCACACAGCAGCUCUCUUGGGGGGUCAACCCACAUGUCUUACAUUGGCAAGGCUGGCAGAAGGACUACAUGCCCUUGAUGAGGCCACUUUGAGACACACACACAUCCCUGCUCCGUUAAAGGGGAUCCAUGACCUUGUCAAUUCUCUGUCUCAGAUCAAAUAUAGCCAAGAUUAAAAGGGCUUCCAUGUCAGGCUGUUUCUGGACUUGUGGUUGUGUGAAUGAAUAGAUGGUGACUCCUGAACACAUCUUUAUAGAGGAUUGUUUUCCCUCAAAUCCAUCAUUUGAUAGAGAAAACA